rnacentral:rRNA from 1 species
UACGUAGGGUGCAAGCGUUGUCCGGAAUUAUUGGGCGUAAAGAGCUCGUAGGCGGUUUGUCGCGUCUGCUGUGAAAACUCGGGGCUUAACCCCGGGCCUGCAGUGGGUACGGGCAGACUAGAGUGCGGUAGGGGAGACUGGAAUUCCUGGUGUAGCGGUGAAAUGCGCAGAUAUCAGGAAGAACACCCGUGGCGAAGGCGGCUCUCUGGGACGGUACUGACGCUGAGGCGCGAAAGCGUGGGGAGCAAACAGG